rnacentral:lncRNA from 1 species
GUCCGAUCAAUCAGUUGUCUACCAGCGGGCACCCAUGUGGCUUUCUCCACCAAGGAAAUGCAUGGACUGGAAACCAGGCUGCUGGUUGCCCUAUUUGAGGGGGAGGGUGUGGGAAGGCCUGGGACUUGUGGGGUGAGAGAUGCAAAUGCUUUCACCUGGAGGGGUGGAAGCAGUGAGGUCCUGCUGUCUACCCCAGGGAACAGGAUCUCCUCCCUCGUUGGGCAACAACAUGGAGGCAACUGAGAAGAAAGGCUUUGCUCGUGUUCAACUAGAUGCCACUGCCGUGAAAGAGAAACGGAGCCCUCUGAAGCAGCUCUGGAGGAAAGAAAGCAUGAUUCAGAAACAAAGCAACCCUCAGCAUGACCGGCUCAGCGUUCAGCAGAGAAGGUGUCUGGGUCCAGCCUCCAGCCUCGCCUCUGGAGCAGAGGCACAGGCCCUCUGCUGAUCCUGACAGGAUUUCAUAGGACUGGGAUGUCUGAGCAGAAGGCAUGACCCGGGAGGUGAGAACUCAAUUCUCAAUUCACGUUUUUCCUUAUGUUGGUUGGCCUUCACCUCAUUCCUCUGCACCCCUCGGUGGCACGCAGAGGCUCGCUGGCCAGGAACUGGCUCCGCACCACUGCUGUCCAACCCUGGGCUCGUCCUUCAAACCCUCUGACACCACUGGUAUCAUGAGAGGAGAGCCUCAAGGAUCACCUCCUCCAUCGGUCGAGGCCCUCAGUGACUCUGUGGGAAGGGAUCUCUGUGACGAUAGACCUCUUUCUCCAUGGCACCCCUGCUUUUCCAUACCCAGGUGGAGGGAUGGAGUGGUUAGGGUGCCCCCUGCCCCCCUGGGAUGUUGUCUGGUCAGGGCUGGAUCUCCCACCGCAUCCCUUCCCACCACCCCAGCUGUGAUGGAGAGAGGCUCUUCCACUGGGCAGCCAGCGGGAAACUCCCAAGAGCUUUCUGGAUGAUACCCAUCAACCCUGCUUCAUUCAGCAGACCUGGUUUGGGUCAGGCCUCCUUAGCCGGGUGCCAUCCUAAAAAGAGAGGCUCAUCUCCAAAGGCAGGAAUGACACUUCCCUAGGUCUCUAGAGUGACAACAACCCAGGGGGCAGCACAGCCACCCAGCACAAUGCCACCAAAGUCCUCCGCCAAGCCCCCACCCAUUCAUCACCCCCAGCCACUCUCCCACAUCCCUAAAGCUCCGCCAGCUGGGGGCUUAAAAAGGCC